rnacentral:rRNA from 1 species
CGGGGGGGGGGGCAAGCGUUGUUCGGAAUUACUGGGCGUAAAGGGCGCGCAGGCGGCCCGGGCCAGUCUCUCGUGAAAUCCCACGGGCUCAACUGUGGAACUGCGGGAGAUACUGCCAGGCUUGAGUCCGGGAGAGGGUAGUGGAAUUCCCAGUGUAGCGGUGAAAUGCGUAGAUAUUGGGAGGAACACCGGUGGCGAAGGCGGCUACCUGGACCGGUACUGACGCUGAGGCGCGAAAGCUAGGGGAGCAAACGGGAUUAGAUACCCCGGUAGUCCUAGCUGUAAACGUUGAGCACUUGGUGUGGCGGGUAUCGACCCCUGCCGUGCCGAAGCUAACGCAUUAAGUGCUCCGCCUGGGGAGUACGGUCGCAAAGGCUGA